rnacentral:lncRNA from 1 species
CACAGCCAUGCUUCCUCAGGGGCUACGACAUACACUUGGUUUUUCCAACCGUGGUAAUAGUGUCUCUCAUGUGAGAAGGUGUACUCUCUGCAUGUGACAGGCCACAGAAGCAGUUUCAGAAGAGAUGUGUCCUGAUUGUCUCAGAUAUUCUGUACACACAGGACAAACGAAAGUACAAACAUCAGAAAUGACUUUUACAAGACAAGAUAUUUGGAGUCUUGAAAAUGAACUACCAGUUAAGGCUAAAGUACGAUCAUCUACACAAUCGGUGACUAAAGGUAAAUCAAAGAAUAAUAUUUUUUCUUUUUUGAAUAUUGUUAGUCAAGGAACU